rnacentral:lncRNA from 10 species
CUCCAGAUAUCACAAUACCCAGGGUGAUAUAAUUUAUUACCCAACCCAGGACACUUUUGAGAAUAAAAUGGGGCCUGUUUACUGAUUUCAUCGGGAUAACUGUCCUAAACAGAGUGUUCCAGCAAACCGGAGUAUGAGCACUCUACCAACACUUCACGUGGGUAUAGCUGUAUACACAGGGGACUAGCCAUUUGAUACCAUCUGUUUCUCACACACAUCCAUGAGGGAAGAAUCAUUCCCAUUUAACAGACAAUGUAACUGGGGCUGAAUAUAGCUCAGCGACUUGCCCCAGGCCCACCAGGAAGUGGAUAAAGCCGUGCUCAACCCAGCACUUCUUCAAAGCCUUAUUCUUUGUCUGCCACACUGACCCGCGCUGAUUCCUUCUGGUCAGCCAAGAAUGGCACAGGAGUGGGCUGGUAACAUGUGAGCAUGUGCAGCUGAACUGGAAGGUGGCCAGGAGCUGAAGUAGCAGAGGGCAGAGCUGCAUUUCAAGAGGAGGCAGCAGGGCAUCCCGGCCAGGAAGCCUCACAGGCAGCCAGAACUCAACCAUCUCAUGCUCCUACUACCAUGGUUGACGAGGAAGCUGAGCCACCAGACAGAGCAGUGGUGACCUACAGAGCCGUGCUUUCAUGACCAUAUGGCCUCUCAGCCGCGGGACUUGCCACACUGUCCCAUACAAUCCUCUGUCAUUUUAGUAUCUGUCACUGCCAGGUCUUCUUCACACCAGCUUGUGAGAAAAAAUGGUGCAUCACUUCUCAAUCCUGGUUUUAGUGACAUCAUAUUGAUAGCUUGAACUUUGCCAUAUUUACAUCACAGAAAUCAGUAAACACCAUUAAAAAGGCUUUUGUUUUCUUCCUUUUUUUUUUCUCAGAGAGCCAGUUAUUAAACAUUUACCAACAUGUGCAAGAACGGGUUUCAAGGCCGAGGUGGGCAGAUCACAAGGUCAGGACUUUGAGACCAGCCUGGCCAAUAUGGUGAAACCCCAUUUCUACUAAAAAUACAAAAAAAUUAGCCAGGCGUGGUGAUGCAUGCCUGUAAUCCCAGCUACUCGGUAGGCUGAGGCAGGAGAAUUGCUUGAACCCGGGAGGCGGAGGUUUGCAGUGAGCCAAGAUCGCGCCACUGCACUCCAGCCUGGCAACAGAGCAAGACUCCGUCUCAAACAAAACACAGCACAACAAAACAAAAAAGAACGAGUUUCAUAGUGAGAAACAGCGGAGAAACCAGCUUACCUGGUGGGCCUUGAGUGGCCCCUACAAACUCCAACCUGUUCAAGACUCAUUUGCCACGUUGUACCUUCCAGCCAAGGCAAUCCCCCCAGCCUGAGCUACUUCCCAGACCAGACCACAGAAGCAAGGCCAUGCUCACCGAGGACCCCACUUGUGGACUAGACUUCUGUCCUGCUGUGGCCUCAAAAGCAAUAGCCAGGGCCCCAUGAUGAAGCUGCCAUCAGAAGCACAGGUGUGCCUGGCAAGGACACAGGAGGACCACGGCUCCAUGCCGAUGAGAAUGGCAGCUAAGUCUGAAGCUUUCUAUGAUUUAGAUUCCUGGUUGCGAGAGGGAGCCUAUAGGAAUGGCGAGAAGAGUGAGAACUUUGCAGAGGCAGCAAGGAUUUUCUCUUUGGGUCACCGCGUGUUCUUUGGGGUCAUAUAAAGUACUCUGCUCAAGAACAAAGGCCAGUGUGGCUAUGAUGAAAAUGCAUUGACAGAGGGGCUUCAAUGUCUAUGGAACAGAAACAAGAGCCCUGGACCAAGAGGAGGAAAUGUGGAUUCACCAACAUGUUGAAAAUCAUUCUAACAUCUCCAGGCCUCAGCGUGGUCAUUCACAAAUGGAAUUCAACAAUUUCUAAGGUCCCUGUAACUAGCUUUGACAAAGAGAACACAGUGGAAGUGAUCCUGCCCACCCCUUUUCCAAGGUAGACCUUAAAAGACCUGUAGCUUCCACUAUUGUGCCUCCUAGAAGCCUGUACCAUGUAAGAAUUCUAACUACCAUGGGAACAUCAUGCUGUGAGGAAGCCCAAGCUAGCCAUUUGGGAGAGAGGAAGGCCACGUAGAGAAGCACCAAGAAACUAGACAUGUUUGUGAAGCCUACUUGAACUUUCCAGCCCAACUCCAGCUGAAUGCAUCCAAGUGAAUGGCCCCAGCUGAUCCCCUGUGGAGCAGAACCACCCUGCUGACUCCUGACUGAAUCCCUGAUCCACAGAAUUGUGAGCAAUAAUAUGACUGUUGUUCUAAAUCACAAAGUUG